GCUAUUUAGUUCUGUCCUUUAUUGACGUCAAACAUGUUUAUUUCUUCUUUUUUAAUCAGUUCUCAAGGAACGCUCUGAAGACUGGACUAUACAAAAUAAAUAAGGACUAACACAACAAUACUCCGCAGUGAUGAAAAGGUUGAGAAUCACUGCUCUAAGGGAACGUCAUAAAUAGGUUAAUCCAUUGCUAUUGGGUCAUAAUGGUAGUACUUGGAUGUAUUGGUAUUUUCUCAAAUGGACACACUGUUUUUACUACCUACCUACCUACCAAAAGAUGUGAAAAGUAUUAUUACAUAUUAUUAUUUCAUCUGAUUGAUGGAUGAAUAUUAUUCCCAUGAAAAAAGCAAGUUUUACUACACAGUGACCACAAACAGUUAGGUAAAAGAGUGUUCUACAUAAAAAAAAGGAAUUUUUUAAAGGUUCCACUGAAACCAUAGAAAUCCACUUUACCUUACAUUUGAAUACAGGCUUUCUGCAAAGUAAGAAUAUAUGAGAUAUAUAUUUUUUCAGUUCCAAGGACUCUGAAAACAGAUAAUUCUUUGUUUGUUUUUUCAUUGAUAUCUCAUAAAUAUUUUUCAUCCAGACAUCGAUGUGAUUUCCACUUUAGAUAACAAAAAAAAAGAAAAAAAGAUUUAGUUGAAGGUGCAUACGAACUGCAAAACACAUCUAAAGGAUCACUUCUAGAGCUAGUAGUAGCAACCUGUGUGUUGAUAAAACGUCAACUUUAAAGAAGGUCAUUAGAGAUGUUAAAUUCGUAGGAUAGGUGGAGAG
rnacentral:lncRNA from 1 species